AUGAGCAGGCUGUUUGUGAACAAGUUUGGAAUCUGCAAGGAUAAAUGCCCCGCUGUUUCCCCCAGCCUCACCAGACCUUGGCCUCCAGACGCCUUGGGUCAUCUCUUCCUUGCGUUGCCCAUGACCACCAGCCUAGCUGAGGCCCCGGCACCCCGGCUUCGUGCUGAAUCUCUUGAUGGCUUUCCCUGUUCUCUCAUGUCCCCAACUCCUGUGCUCCGCCACUCGGCAGUCUCGCUAAAUCACCACCUUCAUCAUGUGUCCGACCUAACAACUGUACAUCACGCCCUGACUCCUGCAUCCAAGGCCCGAGGCUUCCUAUUCCAACCCGCCUCGGGGUCUCAUCUCCUUCCUCCUCUUCCUUCCCAAGCUCUGGUCUCCCCCUGCUGUUGCCCUUGGUCAGUCCAAAGCAAGAGACUCUGGAAAUGGGAAGCAGCCACAGGCUAUGAGCACAGGGUACAAAGAAUGUAAACCUGCUCGUGAGUAAUCCUUACACUGAUUACAUGUGAAAAUGACAGUACUCUGAAUAUAGUGGAUUAAAUAAAAUUACUACUAUAAUCAAUUUCACUUCUUUCCCCCCUUCCUACCCUAUUAGAAAAAUCAGAAUUACCUCUGUGGUUCAUAUUACGCACCUAUCAGGCAGCACUGCUUUAUACCCUGGUUUGCUUAUUACCUGAUACCUCACUCCAUUUUUCCCUUUUCAUGCAGGAUACGCUAUUUCCAUAACUGAAGGCCAUGUUUGGAGGCCUUGUCCUUAGUGCAGUGACACCAUACACAGGGACACUCCCAAGGAGUGUGCUGAGGAUAAUCACAGAAUUACAAAUGGCCUAUCAUCAUGAAAAUGUUCAGAUUUAAAUAUCCAAAGGAGGUGCCGAGCUGAUGAUGAUGGUAAAGAUGAUGAAAAUGAUUCCAUCUCAUGAGAAGCAGCAAUCAACACAGUGUGAGGCAGGCACUAGCAAAGGAUUCUGCGUGUCACCUCUUCUAAUCUUCAGCAAUCUUGGGUCAUGCUUGGUCACCAUGUACCUCAGGCCUCCCCUUGGGCUACUGGGCUGCCAGGAACAAUGACUGCUGUCUUUACCACGAAGCAAGUGAGGACAGCAGAACUGGAAGUGCUCAGGGGACAGCAAAGACGAUGAUAUUCUCCCCGGUGCAGACAGGCAGGGGCAGCAUAAGAUGCCAAAAACCAAAUUCAUGAUCACUGUGCCCUGUUCUUCCAACCAGCUCAGAAACAACAACGUGUUACAUGAUGUGGGAAAUUAAUCAAGUGAAGCUGCCACCUCCCCAAGCCACUACUGCUUGCUUUUUAUCAGCAGUGAAAGGAGCGAACUGUCCUAAGGACCUAAGGGUACUGACUUAGACCUAAUUUUCAAAUUCUGCAACUAAAAAUAACCAAUAUAAAAAUCAAGGGACAAAACCUACACUUACACAAAACAGUAACUAGAUUAGUAUGACUAAUUUUUUUCCAUUUUAAGCCUUACACUACAAAGUGCCAGUAUUCAGAAUAAGCCAUCCUAGGUAGGACGUUGGCACUUUCAGCUACCAGAAAUUAUGAUCACAGCAGGUUCAUGUCAAUCAGAACACAGUCAGUAUUGUAGUGGCAAAAAUAAACUUACAAUAAAUACAGUCAGGAAGCAGUUUCAAGGCAAUAAGAUUAGCUAGGUUAGUAUCACUAAUGAGUUCUUCAUUUUAUUUUUUGAGACAGGGUCUCACUGUGUUGUUCCGGCUAGACUUCUAUGUAGCCUAGGCUGGAGUCCUGCCUCAGUGUCCUGAGUGCUGGAAUAACAGGCCUGCACACCACAUGCAGCUUUGAAUUCCUUUUCUUAUGUGCAUUUGGGUAUGAAGAGAGUAAACACAUAGAGGAAAAGUAGGGAAACGCGGAGCUUUGCAGUGAAGUAGCCUUUAAAAGCUGUACCAAUUUGUUACAAACAGUGGAAAAUAUAAAAUAACUGAUAUACCAUCACAUACAGUAUAUUCUGUCAUCCUAGUAGUUCUCUACUAGGGAAGUGGGGGAUUUGGAAACGUCUUGAGGCACUUUUGAAUGUGAUUUUUGGGUAGGAGCACCAUCGGAAGAGGUCAGGGAUGUCAUUCAACACAUACUGGGCUCAGGACCACUCCCAGCAGCAAAAAACGUCAGGUGGAGCAUCCCCCAUCUUCACACACAGCUUAUGUUUGCAGGGCAAGAGAAAAGCCAUCUGCUAUCUCACCUAGUCUCCCAUUUUCCAGCAAAGCUGGUCAGCUAGUAUUAACUAGGGGAUUUGCAGCUCAGAGCAGAAUAUUCUGCAACAUGAAGCUACUGAAAUGACACAAACAUUAAUAUGACAACUUCUGGAAAGCUAAGAUUCACAGAAAUAAUUUGUACUCUGUAGAUCAACCUAGUAAAAAAAUAACUGCUAACAAGAAAUGCUAAAGAUACCAGGUUUCGAGAUAUUUGAAGUGGACAUCUGUCUUUCCCAGUUUUUGUAUGCCAUUGGUUCAGCAUGCUAACUAAGACCAGUUAAGAAAGGACUUUCCACAUUUGUUUUCAUAAAUUUAUAGCAGGACUAGGGAUUUAGCUCAGUGGCACCACACUCGCCAUGCAAGCACAAGGUCCUGAGUUCGAUCCCCAGUGUAUGUGGGGGGAUCUAAUUCAAAUGGUUAUGCCGAUAGUUCUUAAGGCUUCUAAUCUCACACAAGAAUGCCAAUGACAUCGUAUCUAUAAAUGUUUAACCCACAACUGCUACAACUUCAACAAGACCUUCUGCUGUUAUCAGGGAAGUGUACUCAUAGGCUCAGUUUUGGAUUCUUAGGUGCAGCUAUAGAGACUACAGGGACUUGGUUCACAAACCUGGGAACUGGGAACCUUUUACACAGAGAAUUGCAGGGAGCUGCUUGAAGAGUGACCUUCAGGCUCUGUAUCACCAUCAUCUUUAGCUUGAAAUCUUCAUCAGUUGCAAAGUAACUUGCAGGAAUCUGAACACCUAGAGAGAGGGCAGGGGAGGAAUAGCUUUGAGCAAGAGACUGAAAAUCACAUGGAAACUCAAGCAGGACAGCAUUUAGAUUAAUACCUUCACACCCUGUGAUGGUUGCUCAUCCUUUAGGAGCGGGGUCUUACAUCUUAUAAAAUGAGAAGGACCCACAAAGUCUUAUCUGAUUUCCAAGACAAACCUAUCCGAUUAUGAACCUAAGCCAGGCCCAGAGGUGGGAACCUGUCAGGACUCAUUUUCAUUUCAGUAUUUAUUGUCUUUUCCUUUGCUCCAUCACCCGUGUUGCGUACUGUGAUGCAAAGAUAAACAAGGUUUGAAGUCCACCUUGCAGUGUGUAUGCAAUCUCUCCUCUCAGGAGCCUCCUGUAAUGAACACAGCACAGGGAAGGAAACAAAGCAAACCAGUCCACAGCACGGUGUUCAUGCCUCUUUAGGUUCUGCUUUCUCCUGCCAAAAGGAGUGUAGCUAUGCUGGGGGAGGGAGCGAGUGGCAAAGGACACACAGAGAAGUACAGGGCCACUGACACAUGUCACUUAACACACGUGAACUUUACCUUCAUGUUACCUUUUCAUGAGGGUAAGCUACAAAACAUCAAAAAACAAAAAACAGGGCCGGGGAUUUAGCUCAGCGGUUCAGUGGCCUGCCUUGCAAGCGCAAGGACCCGAGUUCAAUCCCCGGUACCAAAAAAAAAAAAAAAAAAAAAAAAAAAAAAAAAANNNNNNNNNNNNNNNNNNNNNNNNNNNNNNNNNNNNNNNNNNNNNNNNNNNNNNNNNNNNNNNNNNNNNNNNNNNNNNNNNNNNNNNNNNNNNNNNNNNNNNNNNNNNNNNNNNNNNNNNNNNNNNNNNNNNNNNNNAAAAAAAAAAAAAAAAAACAAAAACAAAAAACACCAUGACCCCAGUAAUGUGCAGCAAUGAAGGAAACAGGGUAAUUUUAUCUUUUCCCCUCUUCUUUUAUAUCCUUGCUAUGCACUGGCUCUUCUCUGUAUUGCUGCCUUAGCCCUGUUCUCUGAGCUACAGGGGGAGAAGGCAACACUUAAGUCCAAGGAGAGGAAAUCCUCUGUAUAUUAUAAAAUGAAGCACUGUGUAUAUGCAUCACUUUGCUAACUUAUACUCUGAACUAGAGGGACAGGGAUGUGCUGCUAACACAUUG
rnacentral:lncRNA from 1 species